AGGCUUUGAUCCUGGCUCAGGAUGAACGCUGGCGGCGUGCUUAACACAUGCAAGUCGAACGAACAUUCGGGUUAGUGGCGGACGGGUGAGUAACGCGUGAGAAUCUGCCCUCAGGAGGGGGAUAACGGCUGGAAACGGCCGCUAAUACCCCAUAUGCCGAGAGGUGAAACGAGUUUUCGCCUGAGGAUGAGCUCGCGUCUGAUUAGCUAGUUGGUGGGGUAAGAGCUUACCAAGGCAUCGAUCAGUAGCUGGUCUGAGAGGAUGAUCAGCCACACUGGGACUGAGACACGGCCCAGACUCCUACGGGAGGCAGCAGUGGGGAAUUUUCCGCAAUGGGCGAAAGCCUGACGGAGCAACGCCGCGUGAGGGACGAAGGCCUCUGGGCUGUAAACCUCUUUUCUCAAGGAAGAAGAUCUGACGGUACUUGAGUGAAUAACGCCACGGGU
rnacentral:rRNA from 1 species